ensembl:snRNA U6 U6 spliceosomal RNA
GUGCUCGCUUUGGUGGCACAUAAACUAAAAUUGGAAUAAUACAGAGAAGAUUAGCAUGGCCCCUGUGCAAGGAUGACACACAUACUUGUGAAGCGUUCCAUAUUAAA